rnacentral:lncRNA from 1 species
UUUUUUAAUCACUUUUUUGCAAAAAUAAAAUAUUUACAUUGGCAAAAGGUGGCCGCACAGGACAUAGUCCCAAUUGAUUACAGCUACCAUUUAACUAUACAUACAUACAUAACAUGCCAUUAAUUAAAUACAACACUACAUUGUCAAUACUAUAUAAUUUCAGCUAAGUUAAAAGUCACUACUAUCUACCAAUCUCAAAGAGUAGAGUUCCUUUAAUGCAGUUUUAAAAGUACUUAUUCUUGCAAUAGUUUUUAAAGUAGGAGGUAGACUGUUCCAUGAGCGUAUAGCUCUAGGAAAAUAUGAAUAACCAAAAUAGUUUGUUCUAUACCUAAAUUCAGAAAAAUUAUCUUGAUGAGAAUUUCUUAAAUUAUAACCAGAUUGAGGCUUCAUCUGAACAUUCUCGGCAUAUUCCUCAAAGUCAAGACUAUAUAACCCAUUCUUGAGUUUAAAGAGAAAUAUUAAGUCCUUCAUUUGCCGACGAGACUCAAGUGGAAGGAGAUCGAGCAUAAUCAUUCUACUUUUGUAAUCAGUGUCCUUUGGAUAGUUUAGUAUAAAUUUGGUGGCUCUACGUUGGACAUUUUCAAUUAGUGCAGUGUAUUUUUUUUCAUAGGGAGACCAUAAUUCACUUCCAUACUCUAAUAAUGGGCGAACUAAUGUACAGUAAAGUAACCUUCUGGUCUUUAAGUCCUUUAGAUCCACACAUGUUCUCUUCACUAGUCCAAGUGUCCUAUUUGCCUUUGAAGUUAUUUCGGAAAUAUGAGUAGCCCACUUUAGAUCACUGGUGACGUUGAUUCCAAGAUCUCGGAUGUAGGUUACUCUUUCUAGCCAGUUGUUAUCAAUGGUAUAAUCAGUUUCCAACCUGGGAGUUUUCUUUCUCGUAAUUCGCAUUGUUUUACAUUUUGUAACAUUGAAAUCCAUGUACCAUUCAAUGCUCCAGGAAUGUAAUCGAUUUAAGUUGCAUUGGAGGUUAAUACCGUCAUUGGAACUCCCAAUUAUCUGAGACACCUUUGAAUCAUCUGCAAAUAGCGCAAUAUCUGUUGGCUUAUGUAUGCACUCCGGAAGAUCGUUAAUAUAGAGUACAAACAAUAGAGGCCCCAGAAUAGACCCUUGGGGUACCCCUGAUGUAACACUUAGUAAAUCUGAGCAGUCACCGUCUAUUACAACUUUUUGGGAUCUUGCAGUAAUAUAGUCCGCAAACCAGUCGUGAAGUGUCCCUCCAAAGCCAUGACGUUUCAAUUUGUCAAGAAGUGGAUGAUGUGAGAUUCGAUCAAAGGCCUUCGAAAAAUCUAAGUAAAUUGUAUCAACCUCAUGCCCAUUAUCUAAAGCCUCAAGGAUUUUAUGAUAAAAUCGGACGAGCUGGGUAACACAAUUUCUGCCUUGAACGAAACCAUGUUGAUAGAAGGUUAGUUUAUGUUGUAUAAACUCGUAACAAUGAUUAUAUAUACAUCUCUCCAAGACUUUCGACAAAAUCGAUAAGAGGGAAAUGGGUCUAUAAUUUGUCACUACAUGGGGAUUACCCUCUUUUAGAAUUGGAGUUAUAAGAGCUGUUUUCCAUGC